GGGGGACAACAGUUGGAAACGACUGCUAAUACCGCAUGACGCAUUUUGAUCGCAUGGUCGAAAUGCCAAAGAUUUAUCGCUGAAAGAUGGCCUCGCGUCUGAUUAGCUAGUUGGUGAGGUAACGGCCCACCAAGGCGACGAUCAGUAGCCGGACUGAGAGGUUGACCGGCCACAUUGGGACUGAGAUACGGCCCAGACUCCUACGGGAGGCAGCAGUGGGGAAUAUUGGGCAAUGGGCGCAAGCCUGACCCAGCAACGCCGCGUGAAGGAAGAAGGCUUUCGGGUUGUAAACUUCUUUUAAGUGGGAAGAGUAGAAGACGGUACCACUUGAAUAAGCCACGGCUAACUACGUGCCAGCAGCCGCGGUAAUACGUAGGUGGCAAGCGUUGUCCGGAUUUACUGGGUGUAAAGGGCGUGCAGCCGGGCAUGCAAGUCAGAUGUGAAAUCUCAGGGCUUAACCCUGAAACUGCAUUUGAAACUGUAUGUCUUGAGUGCCGGAGAGGUAAUCGGAAUUCCUUGUGUAGCGGUGAAAUGCGUAGAUAUAAGGAAGAACACCAGUGGCGAAGGCGGAUUACUGGACGGUAACUGACGGUGAGGCGCGAAAGCGUGGGGAGCGAACAGGAUUAGAUACCCUGGUAGUCCACGCUGUAAACGAUGGAUACUAGGUGUGCGGGGACUGACCCCCUGCGUGCCGCAGUUAACACAAUAAGUAUCCCACCUGGGGAGUA
rnacentral:rRNA from 1 species